rnacentral:misc_RNA from 1 species
GCAAACUUGGUCAUUUAGAGGAAGUAAAAGUCGUAACAAGGUAACCGUAGGUGAACCUGCGGUUGGAUCAUUAUUGAUUAAAAAUUUGACCUAAGGUUGAGCUCUAACGAGUUCCCUUAGUGUCAUAAACACCUGUUGCACAUUUUGUAUUUGGGGUUUUUUCUAAAAUUUGGGUUCCAACGAAUCUUGAAUGGUUGAAAUUACCCCAACAUUGAUAUAAACCUUUAUUCUUUAUUGACUAAAAUAUCUAUGUAAAUAGAAACAACUUUUGACAACGGAUCUCUUGGCUCUCGCAUCGAUGAAGAACGCAGC